rnacentral:misc_RNA from 1 species
CGCACAUUGCGCCCAUCAGUACUCUGGUGGGCAUGCCUGUUCGAGCGUCAUUUCAACCCUCAGGCCCUGUACUGCCUGGCGUUGGGGCCUCUGCGUGCUGUUUUUACGGCGUCCGCAGGCUCCCAAGAUCAGUGGCGGGCCCGCCGUGGCUCCGAGCGUAGUAGUUUACUUUCUCGCUUGGGAGGCUCGGCGGUUCCCAGCCGUCAAAAUACCAUUAUUUUUACAAGGUUGACCUCGGAUCAGGUAGGAAUACCCGCUGAACUUAA